rnacentral:rRNA from 1 species
AUACAGGGGGUGCAAGCGUUGCUCGGAAUUACUGGGCGUAAAGCGUGCGCAGGCGGUUCAGUAAGUCGGAGGUGAAAGCCCGAGGCUCAACCUCGGAAAUGCCUUCGAAACUACUGAUCUUGAGUACGGGAGAGGGUCGCGGAAUUCUUGGUGUAGAGGUGAAAUUCGUAGAUAUCAGGAAGAACACCAGUGGCGAAAGCGGCGACCUGGUCCGAGACUGACGCUCAUGCACGAAAGCGUGGGGAGCAAACAGGAUUAGAUACCCUGGUAGUCCACGCUGUAAACGAUGAGUGCUAGCUUCUGGGCAUGUCUACCAUCUCAGUGGCGAAGCUAACGCAUUAAGCACUCCGCCUGGGAAGUACGGUCGCAAGACUAAA